GAGAGAGUCCCACGUAGAACAUGGAGGAGGUGACUAUAUUGGAUUGAAGUGGGAGCAAAGACAAACUCACUUAAAAUGUGAACGUGAUAUGAAAUAUUUGGUCAAGUGGCAUCUAAAUAGACAAGACUCCCAACAAAAUGAAGGUAUCGUGCCAGAUCAAACGAAAGCUCUCCGUUAGAAGCACAGAGGUGGACGUUGAGCUCCAUAGGAGUUUAAACAUUACGCUCACUAAUAAAACAAUGUGAGCAAGAAAAUCCUGGAUAUACUUAUCUCAUUAAGUAAAGAAGCCAUCAAAGGUAGAAGAAACCUUAACCCCCAAGGAUUAAGGCAUAAGAGCUACUGACUAAGACGAGCCUUCACAAAGGCAAUGUACUCAGUUGUUGCCAGUUAUGAUCAUGAGCUGAAAGGUUGACAUAAAAGAAGAGUACCUUAUGGUAACAUUACACGUGGAAGACGAAAGCUGAGUUUGACCAUGAGCUGAAAGGUUGACAUAAAAGAAGAGUACCUUAUGGUAACAUCACCCGUGGAAGACGAAAGAUGAGUUUGACCUUGCAAAUGGAAAAUUGGGUGCAAUGUCAUUGCAAACCAUGUUAAUCUUAAUUCUUGAUUCGUGUGGGACUCGGCGGCAUACGACGCCUUUGCACUGGUUGCGGUAGGAUCGUGUUAUUGGACGACUAGGAUCACAAAGGUGACACCACGUGUUAUUUCAUACCCUUGAAGGGAAAUUUUUGUUGUUUGUUAGCCAGCCUACAUAACCCCACAUCCACUACCACGUUCACCUUUUCUCCAUGCGGUGAAAGCACUAUCCGCCACAUCCCACACUCGUGGCCCCUGUUUCUGUUUGGUCGCCAUCCCUCUCUCGCGUUGUCCGCAACAGGUAUUAUCCAUGCUCGACAUCGCCUCCUUGAUGCUCUGCGGCCUUCGGACAGUUCUCAUCCGCGACGCCGGUCUCCUCCUUCACAAACCCUUGUUGCCGCUGUCCUCCUUCCUUUCUUGACGGUGUCCUGUCAUCUUCCUCCCCACUGGCGCCAAAGGUCCCCCAACGGCAAAACGGUAUGAUGAGUUCAUCUUGUAUUUCUUAUCCCUUUUUUAUGAUGCAUAUUGUUGUUGAUGGUAAGAAAGGUGGCAUUUUGAAUGUAAUUGCAGGAUGAUUAGUCAGAGGACUCACACGACCAUGUUUACACGGACGAGUUCUUGCAGCAAGUAAGUCUUUGUUUUUUGUGUGGAUUAAUUCAUGCAUAAUAAUGCAGAUGUGUCAGGUUACUGAAUUGUGAUUGAUAGGCUCUUCAAUUGUGAUGAUUUGCAACAACACCAGAGGCUGGGAAGCACACCUGAACCAGGUCACAGCCUUAUCACCUCGUUUCCUCGCCCUGCUCCCCAAUUUGAAGGCAAGGUCACAGAGCAGCAGCACCUGCGGCCGCAUGAUUUAUGCUUUGCAUGGUUUUUAUGAUGUGCUAUGGAAGCACAGGAAUUUGUUUGCAGCCCCCCUUCGGACCUAGGUAAAAGAAACACAAGUUUUACUUCCAAUUGAUAUUGUUAGUGCUCAAGUGAUUAUACGAUCUAUUGACACAAAUAUACUUCUUUUUAACUGAUUAAAAUUUAAUGAGCUUUGCAUCAGCCUUAGAAGUAUAGCCCAGAUUUAAAAAUGUGUGGCUCAUGAGUUCAAGGAGACGAGCUGCAGAUUUAAAAAUGUGUGGCUCAUGAUGUGAAGGACACGAGCUGCAGAUAACAAGACAUAGAAUCAAUUGCUCACACAUUCCCCAUUGAUGCAAAUCCAACCUUAUUAGAAACAUUUGCAGUCAAAAACUUCAGGGAAAUACACAAUGAGAAGUUUUAGCCUUCCCUCAUAUAGAAACUAAUAUGCCACCCUAAUUUGGAUGAUCUUUUUCUCUAGCAAGAGCUUUUAAUUCCAAGGUUGAGCAGCUCAAGACUUGGCACAUGAGAGUGUAACAGUUAGUUUCUCAAGACUUGUUCAUUAGCAGUCCAUUCUUCAAUAAUAAUUUAUGAAAGGAUCUAAAAGACAUUUUCCAAAUGAUUUGUAUUCCAUAUCCUGACUUUAAAAGGUCACUUUACAUGGAGUACAACAUUAUUAUACUUCCAUUUUUUUUGCUAUACCAAGAGGCUCUUCACUUUUCAUCUUUGUAACUGCAAUGGAAGAUAGCUUAUGAAUGUUACUUUGCAAUAUAUUUAUCUUUGAUUAGAUGGUUUUUUGGUUUACUGAUACAUUUUGGCAAUCUAAUGUUUCAGGUCUCACCGGCCAUGUUAAGUUAGAGUAUGAUGUACCACCCUCUGUUGACCAUAAACUUGCAAUGUAAGGAUACGGUACCAGCAAAUUGGAUCACAUGGUGAUAUGAUUAUUUUGUAAAACUUGCACAUGGCAUUUCCUAGGCGUGUUUUCCUGUGACAGUAUUUCUAUGACAUGAGGAUGUGAUUGAUGUAAUGGUCCAGUUAUGAUAUCGAAUAUGGAUACUUGUGUUCGAACAUUAGACCUUUGUUUUCUCUAUUUCCAGAGUAAUGUGCUUCAAGGUCACACUUUGGUGAACUGCAAACUUGAUAGUAGCCUUUUCAGCAUUCUUAUCCUGCUCCAGGGUUUACUAUUUGGCACAUGAUUAUGUGCAUGCUUAAAAUGAAG
rnacentral:lncRNA from 1 species